rnacentral:rRNA from 1 species
AUUGAACGCUGGCGGCAUGCCUUACACAUGCAAGUCGAACGGUAACAGGUCUUCGGACGCUGACGAGUGGCGAACGGGUGAGUAAUACAUCGGAACGUGCCCAGUCGUGGGGGAUAACUACUCGAAAGAGUAGCUAAUACCGCAUACGAUCUGAGGAUGAAAGCGGGGGACCUUCGGGCCUCGCGCGAUUGGAGCGGCCGAUGGCAGAUUAGGUAGUUGGUGGGAUAAAAGCUUACCAAGCCGACGAUCUGUAGCUGGUCUGAGAGGACGACCAGCCACACUGGGACUGAGACACGGCCCAGACUCCUACGGGAGGCAGCAGUGGGGAAUUUUGGACAAUGGGCGAAAGCCUGAUCCAGCAAUGCCGCGUGCAGGAUGAAGGCCUUCGGGUUGUAAACUGCUUUUGUACGGAACGAAAAAGCUCCUUCUAAUACAGGGGGCCCAUGACGGUACCGUAAGAAUAAGCACCGGCUAACUACGUGCCAGCCGCCGCGGUAACAC